CGUAAAGAGCUCGUAGGCGGUUUGUCGCGUCUGCUGUGAAAUCCCGAGGCUCAACCUUGGGCUUGCAGUGGGUACGGGCAGACUAGAGUGCGGUAGGAGAGAUUGGAAUUCCUGGUGUAGCGGUGGAAUGCGCAGAUAUCAGGAGGAACACCGAUGGCGAAGGCAGAUCUCUGGGCCGUAACUGACGCUGAGGAGCGAAAGCAUGGGGAGCGAACAGGAUUAGAUACCCUGGUAGUCCAUGCCGUAAACGUUGGGCGCUAGAUGUAGGGACCUUUCCACGGUUUCUGUGUCGUAGCUAACGCAUUAAGCGCCCCGCCUGGGGAGUACGGCCGCAAGGCUAAAACUCAAAGGAAUUGACGGGGGCCCGCACAAGCGGCGGAGCAUGCGGAUUAAUUCGAUGCAACGCGAAGAACCUUACCAAGGCUUGACAUACACCGGAAACGGCCAGAGAUGGUCGCCCCCUUGUGGUCGGUGUACAGGUGGUGCAUGGUUGUCGUCAGCUCGUGUCGUGAGAUGUUGGGUUAAGUCCCGCAACGAGCGCAACCCUCGUUCUAUGUUGCCAGCGGGUUAUGCCGGGGACUCAUAGGAGACUGCCGGGGUCAACUCGGAGGAAGGUGGGGAUGACGUCAAAUCAUCAUGCCCCUUAUGUCUUGGGCUUCACGCAUGCUACAAUGGCCGGUACAAAGGGCUGCGAUACCGUAAGGUGGAGCGAAUCCCAAAAAGCCGGUCUCAGUUCGGAUUGAGGUCUGCAACUCGACCUCAUGAAGUCGGAGUCGCUAGUAAUCGCAGAUCAGCAACGCUGCGGUGAAUACGUUCCCGGGCCUUGUACACACCGCCCGUCAAGUCAUGAAAGUCGGUAACACCCGAA
rnacentral:rRNA from 1 species